rnacentral:rRNA from 1 species
GACGGAGGAUGCAAGUGUUAUCCGGAAUCACUGGGCGUAAAGCGUCUGUAGGUGGUUUAAUAAGUCAACUGUUAAAUCUUGAGGCUCAACCUCAAAAUCGCAGUCGAAACUAUUAGGCUAGAGUAUAGUAGGGGUAAAGGGAAUUUCCAGUGGAGCGGUGAAAUGCGUGGAGAUUGGAAAGAACACCGAUGGCGAAGGCACUUUACUGGGCUAUUACUAACACUCAGAGACGAAAGCUAGGGUAGCAAAUGGG